CUGAACAUGAAGAAAAGAAAGGAGACAAAAUAAAGAAAACAAAAUUUAUGCAAGUGCAGCUAGAUUUUUCUAUUAAGGGGGUUCAGCAGCUUUCAGGUAUUCGUUAUCGCGAUGGUAAAUUUUGAAUCACUGCUGCAGGAAUAGAAAUACGCCAACUUUAAGACACAAGGACAAGGGAUUUUGAGAAAAAAAAUUAUCUUCUUUCAGCAGCUCCAACUUUUCCCGAAUCCCGACAGAAAAGCAAAAGCGACAGUGACAACGGAAGAAGGCAAACAAGGGAAUUGAAAGAUAAACAUCAUGCAAGGAGAAAUAGGAAAAAUACUAAACAAGAAAAUAUCGAUAGAAAAUCAAUCAGAGAUGCCACUCUCUUUGAGGUAGUCCAAUUUUUGUUUUGGUAGCUAAAAGAAUAUUUUAAGCUCUAUGGAAAUAAUAUUAGUAUAUUAAAUUCGGUUUGGGUUGCCAAAAAGUGGUGUGUUGAAUGCAAUAGCAAUAGUUUUUAAUUGCAUUUGGCAACACAUUAUGCUUAUUAUUUUGAAGAAUAAACUCUUUGAAUGUUAUCGAG